rnacentral:rRNA from 1 species
UACAGAGGUCUCAAGCGUUGUUCGGAUUCAUUGGGCGUAAAGGGUGCGUAGGUGGCGCGGUAAGUCGGGUGUGAAAUCUCGGAGCUUAACUCCGAAAUUGCAUUCGAUACUGCCGUGCUUGAGGACUGGAGAGGAGACUGGAAUUCAUGGUGUAGCAGUGAAAUGCGUAGAGAUCAUGAGGAAGACCAGUGGCGAAGGCGGGGUCUCUGGACAGUUCCUGACACUGAGGCACGAAGGCCAGGGGAGCAAACGGGG